CAGUACAGCCACUUUAAAGUUACAAAUUCUCAUUCUCAUUCUCAGCUCACACUGAUAACAUGCUGGUGACUCUCGGUGCUCUCAUCACUGCUCUAACAUGUGUGAGUGGUGUGACGGUGGUGACACAGAAACCUGUUCUAUCAGUGAGCAAAGGAGAGACAGCCACCAUGGACUGUAACCUGGGGACUGUAACUGACAGUGCUGCUCGUUGGUACAAACAGAUUCCAGGAGGAGCUCCUCAGUAUGUGCUGAGGUUUUAUCAUGGAAAUACAUCUCCAACCUAUGGCUCUGGGUUCUCCUCUCCAAAAUUCACAUCCACUCAUCAGUCAACAUCAGAUUAUCGUUUGAUCAUCAGCAAUGUGGAGGAGGGAGACUCUGCAGUGUAUUACUGUCAGACAUGGGAUGACUCUGCCAAAGAGGAUGUAUUCGGACAAGGCACCAAGCUGAUUGUGACAAAACAGCAAUCUCCACAGAAAGACUUUGGGAUAGGGUGA